rnacentral:lncRNA from 1 species
UGGGGCUAUUUUCCAAAAUAAUUAUGUCAAAAUAUUUCUUGAUGAGAAGCAAAUCAAGUGGCGGAUGCUUGGGAUAGAUCAAGCUUAUCCAUAGCAUCCGAUCCGUCAGUCCGUCACUUGAUUUUCUUCUCGAAGAUUGGGAGAAUUUAAUUGAAGCAACUUGCGUUGCAAGGUUCUUAAUAUCACCGACCAAUCCAUAACAAGGAUGCGUUCUCGAACAAUCACUCUCAAUAAGACUAAUCGCGGUUUGAGAUAAAAAAAACUGUAGUAAUUGAUCGGCUCCCAACGUAUUCCAAAUCGUUUUGGUAAAUACACGGUCACGAAACAUAUGCAAUAAUGAUUGAGAAUAAUUAUUACAAGCUGGACAUAAAUCACUAUCUGUUAGUUUUCGUCUUGCACGCUCCGUGUUAGUGAGAAGUACUUAGUGUGCCAACUUCCAUAACAAACAUUGCAAUCUCUUGGGGACCUUCCAAUUCAAUAUCUUCGAAAAUAGUGUCACACAUUAUGCACAUUCUGGACCUGCAAAAUUUUGCAGUAUGCCAUAAAAACAAGGGUUUUUACAGCUACAUGCAACAACCUGAUGAAUUUAAUUUUGUUGUUUUUUUAGAACUUGGAUGAUCAUUUGUAAAUAUCAUUCUAAGGCUUGUAAUCAAUGAGUAGAGCGCGAUUUCAAAGUGUUUAGGCUAUAAAUAGGCUUAGCAUUGCCUU